GAUGAAGAACGUAGCGAACUGCGAUAAGUAAUGUGAAUUGCAGAAUUCAGUGAAUCAUCGAGUCUUUGCACGCACAUUGCGCCCCCUGGUAUUCCGGGGGGCAUGCCUGUCCGAGCGUCAUUGCUGCCCUCAAGCACGGCUUGUGUGUUGGGCCUCCGUCCUCCUCCCGGGGGACGGGCCCGAAAGGCAGCGGCGGCACCGCGUCCGGUCCUCGAGCGUAUGGGGCUUCGUCACCCGCUCUUGUAGGCCCGGCCGGCGCUUGCCGACACAUCAAUCUUUUUUCCAGGUUGACCUCGGAUCAGGUAGGGAUACCCGCUGAACUUAAGCAUAUCAAUAAGCGGAGGA
rnacentral:misc_RNA from 1 species